rnacentral:rRNA from 1 species
UACGGAGGAUGCAAGCGUUAUCCGGAAUGAUUGGGCGUAAAGCGUCCGCAGGUGGCUGUGUAAGUCUGCUGUUAAAGAGUGAGGCUCAACCCCAUAAAGGCAGUGGAAACUACAUGGCUAGAGUGCGUUCGGGGCAGAGGGAAUUCCUGGUGUAGCGGUGAAAUGCGUAGAGAUCAGGAAGAACACCGGUGGCGAAAGCGCUCUGCUAGGCCGCAACUGACACUGAGGGACGAAAGCUAGGGGAGCGAAUGGG